GAGCAGGGCCCCUAGAUGGGGAUGCAGCUGGCCCCUCCCCAGUCAGCCACAGGAGCAGGAUGCAGGCUCUGGAGAGGGAGAAUGACCAGAUGGCUGCUGGGAUCCAGAGGCAAAAGGUGGGCAGGAGCUGGGCUGCCUGGGGUGGUGUGAGGUGGCCCCACCUACAGUCAGGGCCCCCAAAGAACCCCUCCUAAGUACCCUAGAGCCCUCCCCAAGCCUGAAGUCAGGGGCCUUGUGCAAUAAAGUGGAGGCCCGGGCUGUGCCACAGCCACAGCUCUUCUCAUGGGGCCUCAGCUUCCUGAUUGUUUAAUGGGUCCCAAGCUCCCCACCCUGGCCCUGAGUACCGGGGAGCUCAGGCCCAGGGGUGUGGGGCCUCCAGGGCUACUAUGGCCCAUCUGUCCGUGAACAGAAAGGGCCUUGCCCUCCAGCUUGAGCUGGGUGCCUGUGGACAGAAGCAGGACUUUGGCCACCACUGGCACCAGAACCCUCAGCACCAGCUGCUAGGGGUGAGGGUCGGGUGCCCCCAGGUCAAGGUGGCCUGAGCCUGCCCACCCAAGGACAGGGACAUAAGAAUCUGGACAAUCCUGCCAGCCUGAAGGGAGGGCAGCCACCCUGGAGCAGCCCAAGUGCUCCUGAGUCCUUGCCACCUCCCCUCUGCCCACAGGGCAGACCGCAGCAGAGACCCCAGGCCAGCCCCCGGAGUCUGCAAAUGAAAGGAGCUGUGGGAGCCCAGGUCUGCCAAGGAGCUGGAGUCUGCAGUGUGGACUCCACCAGAGGCCAAUGGGUGAGCUCAAGGGCAGACUGGGGUGGAGCUGGGACAGCCCCAUCCAGGGGUGAGAGCUGGUGUGGGGCAGCCCUGGUUGCCCUCCCUGAGAUCAGGCUGGAUGGAGGUGGGACCUCCCAGGCAGAGAACUUGGCUCUGGUCUCCCAUUGCCAUGUGGACUGGGCCCUCUGGGACCACACUGGGCCCUUGUUUCCAGGAGCUGGAGGAGCUGAGACAGGGACCAUGUGAAGUGAAGGCAGGGCCUGGGCCGGGGGGCAGGGGUUGGAGUAGGAAGCCUGGCUUGUUGGAACCAAUGAAUUGGGAUGGGGGUUCUCCAUUGAGCACCAAGGACUCAGCCUAGACUCAUCCCAGGCCCGUAACCCCGGCUGCCCUGUCCUCGUACAACCUCAGCGUGGCCCUGAGAGGGGACUAGGCCUCACUCCUUGGCAGGGUGGACUCACCAAUUGAAGUGAUGAAACAAGUGCGUUGGGGAGCGAGGCUUUGCGGGCCCAGCCCUGUGCAGGCAAACUGUGCAGGGACCCUGGAAAGGAUGUGGAGAUGGAGGGCGAUGUGAGGCCUGCCCUCAGGGGCUCCUGGGCUAGGCAGUACUACCCGUAUGGGGAGCGCUGCGGGACUCAGGGUAAAAGAGGGAGUGAAGGAUCAGGGGUUCAGGGCAAGUGUUCUGGACUUCAGUCACCUGCACAGCUUGGAGGGGAAGGUGAGCCCUCUUGCCCCCUCCCCUGGUGCUGUUCCGUCAGCACUGCACCUGAUGCCGCCAUGGUGGCCUCUUUGGGGCGAAGAACAGUCCCUAGGAAGGCCCCUGUGAGGCUGGAGCUCUGAAUCCAAGGGGGAGCGAAGUUCUUGGGGAGCCUGCAGAUCAAGAUACGCGCCAGCCCCACCCUCCUCCAUCACAGACUUCUUUGCAGGAGGUGGGUUCAGAGCUGGCUGAGAUGCAGACUGAGCUCGAGAAGGUCUGCAAUGUGCUGGAAGCUUGAGACUCAGAGCUGAGAGCUGAGCAGUGGGCCCUGGAGGCUGCCCAGGACCAGGUGCUCAGCAGCUGCCCCCCUGCACUGUGCUUCCGACUGGCCUGCAUGGCUCCCACAGGCUCCCCCAUGCCCGAUCCCUGCUGCCUGCCGCAUGGUGCCCAUGCAGGCCUUGACCUUUCCUUCCCCACACUCCGUCACUCAAGUUCCUCCCAAGCCCUUGCUGCCCACUGGGAGGGCUCAGCCUGGAACGUGUUCACUGCUUCCCCCCGCCCACCUCUAAGCUGGUGGAGAGCCUCCCUGAGAAACUGAGGCUGCAGCAGCAGCUGAAAAGGAGCUGGUAGAGAAGCAGUGACUGCGGGGUGAGGGGUGCCUGCAUCUGAGGGGCUCUUUGGGGAGAAACCCCACCCUCCCUCCCAGAGAUGCUCCUCAGCCCCCACAGCUCUUCCUCUUCUCUGAGAACCUGGGGCAGGGGGCAGGGGGGCAGGGGCAUUUAGGGACACGUUGUGGAGGCUGCCCUCUCAUCCCCUCAGGGGUUAGGAUGGGUGGGGCUGAGCAGCGGCCUGAGGCCUGACCUAUCUCCUGGUCUGCCUUCUUCUCUCUGAAGAGGGGAAGCCAGGGAAAGCAGCAGCAGGAGGGUGGGCUGUGGGGCACAGGGAAUCAGACCAUCUGGGCCCCUGGGCCUGGAGCAAUGGAUGGAAGGAGAAUGGCAGUAGAACCGAGAAGUCUUACACUUCACUCUCCACCACUCCCCAGCUUGGCGAGCAUGAGCAAGUCCUGCCUUCACUAAGCCUCACUAUCCUCUGUAAAAUGGAAACACGGACAGUACCUAUGACACAGGAUUGAUGUGAGGAUGACAUGGGACACAGUGCACCGGGGACAGUGCUUAUGUUC
rnacentral:lncRNA from 1 species